UUCGGGACACUUCAUGUUUCUGCCGCACCACAGAGAGUGUCUGGUGUGCCGUGUCGCGGCUUCGAGCGGCGCAUCCGGUGCCUCAGUCAAAGUUAAUUCAGUGUGCGUGGUUAUUAGUUUCUGUGUACAAGCUCGGCACUUGAAACUAGCACACAGUUGGCUGUAAAACUGUACAAAGACACAAAUGAUUUUGUACUCUACUCUCUGCUUGGUCUGUGUCCGAGUCGUAUAUGUACGACUGAAUGGUGAUCCUCUCUCUCCUUCUCGCAGUCUGCCUGUCAGACUCUGUUGCAAAUGCAGAGCGGGUGAGCUCAUGGCCCCGCCCCCUUGUUACGUUGGCGGGAAGCCGAAACUAAUUUACAUGUGAAGCAACACACCCAUAAAUCAGCGAGCUGUGGACACGCCCCCAACAUGACACUUUUUAACAAAUUAUAAUAAAAAAAUCUGAAUUGUGUUUUAAACUGAACCUAAACUGGCACACUCAGAAGAACCAUAAUAAUAAUAUUAAAUCAUAAAAAAGAGGUAAACUAUGUGCCCUUUAAUAAUAAGGUAAUAGUGAGAUUUGAUACUUAAACUAAAGCGUUACAGACACUUUCAAUUUAAACAACCUCAGAAAUCACAAACCGGCUCGUGUUUGGUGUAGAUUUUGUGACUCGUCCCAAAUAAUGCAUUCAUAGUCAGUCUUGUCUACAUGGUAAUCUUCGUUGUGAGAAAGGUUUGAAGGGAUUUACACACAGUCCUCAUUCAGGCAAAUCAUUGUCGUUUGAAUUAAAUGCAGCUAUUUACAUGAAAACAAAUUAUUUUACAUGAUGUUUGUUUACCAUCUACACAUACCCAGUGCACCAUUUGGGACAGGACUUAGAAGUUUAUACGCUUCCUCAAGUGCAUUAUGGGUAAAGUCGAAGUGUUAGAAGAUUGAUUCAGGGUAAAGUCUAAAAGGGAUACAGCUGCGGUUGCUCACAUCAAUAAACAGCAUAAUUGUUGUGACUGUGAUAUUUUUAAAGUACUGUGAGGGUUGAGUAAACGUUAAUAAAAUACAAUUUAAUGCUUAAUUUAAUAAACGAUAUGAAUAAUACUCUGUAUAAUUGCUGUUUUUACAUUACUGUGAUGGUUGGAGUAGGGGUAGACGUUAAUAAAAAUCAAUUUAAUGCGUAAUUUAUUAAAUAAUAUCAAUAAUACUAUAGUAUAAUGACUGCUUUUGCAUUACUAUGAUGGUUGGGUUGGGGUAGACGUUAAUAAAGUACAAUUAAUGCACAAUUUUAUAUUCUCCUCAACUUUCGUCCGCAGCUGUAUCCCUUCCAGCAAUAAUUGAAACUCAGUGCGAUUUCUAUCACGAACACAAGGUUAAAUGCUUCCAGCAAGCGAAGACGAUAAUUUAUGAAGCUAUAAUGAGAAACAACACAACGCCAUAGACCUCCAGCAAGCGGCCAGUAUGUGCGUUUUGUCUGAAAAAUCCGCCAUGAGUUCACAUUCGCCUCAGUUAGUUUGUUCAGUUUUUUUCUGUAUUUCUGAGCCGAUCACACUGGACGAAUACUUACAUUAAGUUUGAGUUAUUUAUGUAGCUAACUAUAUAUUUCUUUAACAUGUCACGCUGUAUUUUAAAUGUAAAACUCGUUCAAGGUUUAGAAAUGUUUUCUGCAGUCUGAUUAUUUGUUAUGUCGGUUGUUUUUUGCGUUAAUGUUGUUUAUCAUUUGUUUGUUAUGAAGGUUUACCAUACACAAAACCCCUUCAUUUCAUAUCUACUUCUUUAAAUGUCUUUGGUUGUUUUUACGAAACAACAAGGAUUGCAUUAUUGACUGUUUUCUUUACGUUUUAAUUAUUUUACUGUCCUGCACACAACCUACUGCAGGACAAAUGUGUCAAAUGUUCUCCACAAAGACAUUUGUUUACAGUGUUUAUUCAAUAAACGCUGCGCUCAUUUGU